rnacentral:rRNA from 1 species
CCUACGGGUGGCAGCAGUGGGGAAUAUUGCACAAUGGGGGAAACCCUGAUGCAGCGACGCCGCGUGAGUGAAGAAGUAUUUCGGUAUGUAAAGCUCUAUCAGCAGGGAAGAAAAUGAUGGUACUUGAUUAAGAAGCCACGGCCAACUACGUGCCAGCAGCCGCCGUAAUACGUAGGGGGCAAGCGUUCUCCGGAGUUACUGGGUGUAAAGGGCGCGUAGACGGUGAUGCAAGUCAGAAGUGAAAGCCCGGGGCCCAACUCCGGGACUGCUUUUGAAACUGUGUGACUGGAGUGCAGGAGAGGGAAGCGGAAUUCCUGGUGUAGCGGUGAAAUGCGUAGAGAUCAGGAGGAACACCAGUGGCGAAGGCGGCUUACUGGACUGUAACUGACGUUGAGGUGCGAAAGCGUGGGGAGCAAACAGGAUUAGAUACCCCGGUAGUC